rnacentral:rRNA from 1 species
UGAAUCAUUGAAUCUUUGAACGCACCUUGCACCUUUUGGUAUUCCAAAAGGUACACCUGUUUGAGUGUCAU